GGGGCGGGGGACACGCUCCACCCACUGCCCCCUUGGCAAACUUCUCACCCACAGCAAAACACCAGUGCCAUCGUUAAAGUGGAGCAGAUCCUCAGGUUCCCUCUUGCACACCAUCUCAAGGGCCUUCGUAGCCCAUCUGUCAUGUGCUCAUACUCUUUCUCAACCCCCCACAAACAGGCUACAUAUUCCAGGUUUACUGUUGGUUCUGCCCAGUUUUAAUUGGUUCCCUGGAUGUUUGGAUACUGCCCAGUCAUAAUUGAUGCUGCUCUCACCUCUCCUUUUUAUACAUGACCUCUUGGGUUCUCCUAAGGCUCCCUAAAUUUCAUCCUCCCUCAGAGAGUUCGAUUCCAGCUAACAUCUCAGCCUAGGGAGGGACUUAGAUUCCAGGAGCAUGGCCUUAGGAAUGCUGGGAAUCUUUUCCUUCCAGAGUAUCCAGGCUUGGACACCCACACAGGAUGAUGGUUGAAGCAAAGCAGCCCUGCAUGACUUCUGACUCAGGGGUCUGACUUCUAGCACAGGAAUUUUGUCUCAGCAACAGAAAGAUGUCUGAUACAGCGUGCAUGUUCCCUUCUGCUAGGACCCUCACUCCUCUCAUUCUUGCUGUCAACACCUCCUCCAUCUGCUCUCCAGGCAGCCUCCCAUGUCACAUACCCACUCCAGAUGCUGCUAACCCCAUGUGCUUCCCUCUGGACAUUGGGCAGCAGCAGUUUGCACCGGAGCAGUGACCACGUGAUUGUUUCUCUCAGCAGCAAACUCCACAAAGGCAGCUCUAUAUCCCCAUGCCCUCCACGAAGGACUGAUAGUCAUGAAAGCAGCUCCAUGCCCCUGGGCCCACCACAGGAGGACUGGUGCCCAGGAAGGCAGCUCCGUGUCCCUGUGCCCACCACAGGAGGACUGAUGCCCAGAAUACUCAUUGAAUUUAUCAAUAAGGUGGUUGAGAAAUAUAGCAAAUGUUUACAAACAAGGAUGUGUGACAAUAAAGGUUCUGUUUACAAGGGA